rnacentral:rRNA from 1 species
UACGUAGGGUGCGAGCGUUGUCCGGAAUUAUUGGGCGUAAAGAGCUUGUAGGCGGUUUGUCGCGUCUGCCGUGAAAAUCCGAGGCUCAACCUCGGACUUGCGGUGGGUACGGGCAGACUAGAGUGUGGUAGGGGAGACUGGAAUUCCUGGUGUAGCGGUGAAAUGCAUUGAGAUCGGAAAGAACACCAACGGCGAAAGCACUCUGCUGGGCCGACACUGACACUAAGAGACGAAACCUAGGGGAGCAAAUGGG